rnacentral:rRNA from 1 species
AUCGAACGCUAGCGGCGGGCCUAACACAUGCAAGUCGAGCGCGUAGCUUCGGCUACGAGCGGCGGACGGGUGAGUAACACGUAGGUAUCUGCCCUUUGGUGGGGGAUAACCAGGGGAAACCUUGGCUAAUACCGCAUAUGGCCUUCGGGUCAAAGCCUUCGGGCGCCAGAGGAUGAGCCUGCGUCGCAUUACCUAGUUGGUAGGGUAAUGGCCUACCAAGGGGACGAUGCGUAGCUGGUCUGAGAGGAUGAUCAGCCACACUGGGACUGAGACACGGCCAAGACUCCUGCGGGAGGCAGCAGUGGGGAAUAUUGCGCAAUGGGCGAAAGCCUGACGCAGCCACGCCGCGUGGGUGAUGAAGGCCUUCGGGUUGUAAAGCCCUGUCUGGAGGGACGAAGUUCUGACGGUACCUCCAAAGAAAGCACCGGCUAACCCCGUGCCAGCCGCCGCGGUAAAAC